rnacentral:rRNA from 1 species
AUCAACUUUCGAUGGUAGGAUAGAGGCCUACCAUGGUGGUAACGGGUAACGGGGUGUUAGGGCACGACACCGGAGAGGGAGCCUGAGAAACGGCUACCACAUCCAAGGAUGGCAGCAGGCGCGCAAAUUACCCAAUCCCGACACGGGGAGGUAGUGACAAUAAAUAACAAUACGGGGUUCUUUAGGAUUUCGUAAUUGGAAUGAGUACAAUUUAAAUCUCUUAACGAGGAACAAUUGGAGGGCAAGUCUGGUGCCAGCAGCCGCGGUAAUUCCAGCUCCAAUAGCGUAUAUUAAAGUUGUUGCAGUUAAAAAGCUCGUAGUUGAAUUUCGGGGUCAGUAGGUUGGUCAUGCCACUGGUAUGUACUGGUCUCACUGAUUCCUCCUUCCUGAUGAGCCGUAAUGCCAUUAAUUUGGUGUUGCGAGGAAUCUGGACUGUUACUUUGAAAAAAUUAGUGUGUUUAAAGCAGGCUAACGCUUGAAUACAUUAGCAUGGAAUAAUGAAAUAGGACGUUCGAUCUUAUUUUGUUGGUUUCUAAGAUUGACGUAAUGAUUAAUAGGGAUAGUUGGGGGCAUUAGUAUUCAAUUGUCAGAGGUGAAAUUCUUGGAUUUAUUGAAGACUAACUACUGCGAAAGCAUUUGCCAAGGAUGUUUUCAUUAAUCAAGAACGAAAGUUAGGGGAUCGAAGACGAUCAGAUACCGUCGUAGUCUUAACCAUAAACUAUGCCGACUAGGGAUCGGAUGAUGUUAAUUUUUUAAUGACUCAUUCGGCGCCUUACGGGAAACCAAAGUGUUUGGGUUC